CCUACGGGUGGCAGCAGUAGGGAAUCUUCCACAAUGGGCGAAAGCCUGAUGGAGCAACGCCGCGUGGGUGAAGAAGGUCUUCGGAUCGUAAAACUCUGUUGUUAGAGAAGAAAGUGCGUGAGAGUAACUGUUCACGUUUCGACGGUAUCUAACCAGAAAGCCACGGCUAACUACGUGCCAGCAGCCGCGGUAAUACGUAGGUGGCAAGCGUUAUCCGGAUUUAUUGGGCGUAAAGGGAACGCAGGCGGUCUUUUAAGUCUGAUGUGAAAGCCUUCGGCUUAACCGGGGUAGUGCAUUGGAAACUGGGAGACUUGAGUGCAGAAGAGGAGAGUGGAACUCCAGGUGUAGCGGUGAAAUGCGUAGAUAUAUGGAAGAACACCAGUGGCGAAAGCGGCUCUCUGGUCUGUAACUGACGCUGAGGUUCGAAAGCGUGGGUAGCAAACAGGAUUAGAUACCCCAGUAGUC
rnacentral:rRNA from 1 species